rnacentral:rRNA from 1 species
UACGUAGGGUGCGAGCGUUGUCCGGAAUUAUUGGGCGUAAAGGGCUCGUAGGCGGUUUGUCGCGUCGGGAGUGAAAACCUUGGGCUUAACUCAGGGCUUGCUUUCGAUACGGGCAGACUAGAGGUAUGCAGGGGAGAACGGAAUUCCUGGUGUAGCGGUGAAAUGCGCAGAUAUCAGGAGGAACACCGGUGGCGAAGGCGGCUUGCUGGGCCAGUUCUGACGCCGAGGAGCGAAAGCGUGGGGAGCGAACAGG